ACGGGAGGCAGCAGUGGGGAAUAUUGGGCAAUGGGCGCAAGCCUGACCCAGCAACGCCGCGUGAAGGAUGAAGGUCCUCGGAUUGUAAACUUCUUUGAUCAGGGACGAAUUUUGACGAUACCUGAAGAACAAGUCACGGCUAACUACGUUCCAGCAGCCGCGGUAAUACGCAGGUGACAAGCGUUAUCCGGAUUUACUGGGUGUAAAGGGCGUGUAGGCGGUUUAGCAAGUCAGAAGUGAAAUUCCCGGGCUUAAAUUGGGCGCUGCUGCUGAAACUGCUUUACUUGAGUACUGGAGAGGAUAGUGGAAUUCCUAGUGUAGCGGUAAAAUGCGCAGAUAUUAGGAGGAACACCGGUGGCGAAGGCGGCUAUCUGGACAGUAACUGACACUGAGGUACGAAAGCGUGGGGAGCAAACAGGAUUAGAUACCCUGGUA
rnacentral:rRNA from 1 species